GUACUUGUACUUUUACUUAAGUACUUUCUUUGCAUAGAGGUAUUUACGUGGUGAUGGUGGUGAUCAAGCAGGACGGCAUGGUGGUAAUCUUAACCUCUUUGCACAAUCAUUUCCACCAUACUACUGAAAUACUGUUGCGUUUUGCCCCAUUCAGGUUAUUUGGGUUGUUCCUACUUUCUUGGUGUGACGGGUGGAAGGGGUUGCCCUUAGCAGGUGUACAGCCAGUCACCUGAUUGUGCCUGGCGCACGGGACGUGACGUUACACGGGAGCUCGCAGUGACCCGCACUUCCUAUUUGUUUUAAAUGCCAUUCACGCGGCAAACGCAGCAUGUUUGGUUUGGCUCUGUCGGCGGUGAAUAAUAAGCACAAUACGGAUCUGCUUGUUCGUGGGAAUAUAACGCCAGUAGGAUUGUGAAGUGUUGCCUCUAACAGACGAACAGUUUUCACACCUACAACGCAUUUGGAACACUGGCGUCUUAACAUCGCAUGCGGGACUUUAUGAGGUGAUCUACUAAUAGGAUAGCUAACAGGCAGCUAAUUAUAAAACCAAUCUGGUCCUGGUCUGGCACGGCUGCAGCAUAUCUGGACCAGGUCUGGGUCAAACCCUGGCCAAAUAUGGGGCAAAUCCGUCCCAAACUCAGCUAUCAACGAUCCGUCCCAAACUCAGCUGUCAACUGCGGCUACGCGAGGGAAACAGCUUGAUAAACCCACCAAGUUUCUGUGGGUGGGGUUGUACACAGCCAAGACAAGAGGCUUGCCAGUUAUUUAUUGAUGAAGCCAAAGCUAAAUAUUCAUUGAGAGUGCAUCUCUCUCUCCGAGCACCAUACGGAUCCGCUGCUCCACCACCUCCCACUCAAGUGCCAGCCUGUCAGACAACUGACUCUGCGUAUGGAGAAGAUGGCUGUGUUCACACCAGAUCAAACAUGAGAUAAACUACUUGGGAGCUGUCCUUGAAAAACUGCAUUCAUGCAUUAAGACAUCCCAGGGAAAUUAAUUAAAGUUUUAUGAUGAUUUUAAUUUAAAUUACAGGAAUAACUUAUAUUCAACCACAUUAGUUACAGUAAAUACUAUUACUGCAGUCUUCUACCCUAAAACCAUGCAAUGUUAAGGGUUUCAGAGAGCUACAAUUAUGUAUCUCUGAAACAAGCCGCAUUUUGACAGCCCAGUAUGACUUAAUUCAUACUGAGGCUAUUUUCUAAGAAAAGUCACAUGAAAAGCAUUUAGCAAGCAAUUAGCAUGAUGUCUAUUAGCACUGCUGAUCCAAGCAUUUUAAAUAGAAGGCCAUGCAGUUAAUACAGUGUGUAUGUAUUAAACUGUGACUGUGGGUCUUUUAUAUAUGUGUCAUCCUACUAUAAUUCACACCCUGAGGACUCCUAGUGCUAUCACUCAACAGCUAAAGGAGUACACAGCAUGAAACAAGGGAUAUGGAUGUUGGGCUUAACAGUUAAACAACCUAGAACUGCUGGUUCUAACCUAGAUCUUCUGGGUCUAACCUAGAUCUGCAGAUUCUACCCAAACCUGUUCCAGAUCAGGCCCAGAUCCGCUCUAAAGCUGGCUAGAUACACAUAACACUUAACACGUGCAACACAUAAAACCAUGAAUGCAUCAUUUUGCAGAAUUAUGCAUGAAGAUUGAGUGGGCUGCCAGAUAAUCCCAUUUGAUGAUAAAUGUGAAAUUGUCUGCAUUUUUUCUUGUGACUCAGGCUAAGUCUGUUUCAUGACAAUUUUAACUCAUAAUAAGAAAAGCCUGUACAGAGAGGAGCUGAUUUAAGUCCAGAUCCGGCUCUUAUCCGGGCCUGGUCCUGCACUGGCACCCCAUUGCUCCUCCUGUGUGUGAGGAAUGACCAGCAUCUAGAUGAGAUUUCAGAGUGAAUCAAUGGUCUGUUCAUGAGAGACUUAAUCGAUGCCUUCACCACAUAGAGGCUGUGGGGGAAAGAAGGUAUGAAUGGAGGGAUGGAGUGAUAGAGGGAUGAAUGGAAGGAUGGAGGCGUGGAGGGAUAGAGGGAUGGAACGAUGGAGAGAUGGAGGGAGGUCCCUUCCCCCGUCCCUCUCAGUGACCACAUGAGUCAUUCAGACGCUCUCCUUUGAACCAGAGACAAUCUGACAUAAUCCCAUGGAAUAAAACAGAGGAACUAUUCAGUUAUUAUUUAUAAUUAUUGUAUUAUUUGUAUGAUUGCUAUUCCGUUGUUCUCAAAAUACAUAUUGUGUUUACAUAAGACCUUUCAGAUCAGAGCGUCUAUAAAACCUUACAUUUAAAACCUGGAUAUUUCAGAGCUAUGUGAUGUUGCCAUGACGCCUGUGCAAUGAGCCAUGGGGAAGAGUGCUACUUACUAGCACAAUGACAGUUAUUC